rnacentral:rRNA from 1 species
GUAGCGCGGUGGUCCCACCUGACCCCAUGCCGAACUCAGAAGUGAAACGCCGUAGCGCCGAUGGUAGUGUGGGGCCUCCCCAUGCGAGAGUAGGGAACUGCCAGGC